GGUCCUACGGGGCGCAGCAGUAGGGAAUCUUCCACAAUGGGCGAAAGCCUGAUGGAGCAACGCCGCGUGGGUGAAGAAGGUCUUCGGAUCGUAAAACCCUGUUGUUAGAGAAGAAAGUGCGUGAGAGUAACUGUUCACGUUUCGACGGUAUCUAACCAGAAAGCCACGGCUAACUACGUGCCAGCAGCCGCGGUAAUACGUAGGUGGCAAGCGUUAUCCGGAUUUAUUGGGCGUAAAGGGAACGCAGGCGGAGGUGCAAGUCAGCGGUCAAAUUGCGG
rnacentral:rRNA from 1 species